rnacentral:rRNA from 1 species
AGGACGAACGCUGGCGGCGCGCUUAACACAUGCAAGUCGAGCGGUAAGGCCUUUCGGGGUACACGAGCGGCGAACGGGUGAGUAACACGUGGGUGAUCUGCCCUGCACUCUGGGAUAAGCCUGGGAAACUGGGUCUAAUACCGGAUAUGACCUGCUCUCGCAGUGGGGGUGGGUGGAAAGAUUUAUCGGUGCAGGAUGGGCCCGCGGCCUAUCAGCUUGGUUGGUGGGGUAAUGGCCUACCGAAGGCGACGGACGGGUAGCCGACCUGGAGAGGGUCGACCGGCCACGACGUGGGACUGGAGACACGGCCCAGACUCCGUACGGGAGGCAGCGAGGUAGGGGAAUAGUUGGACAACAAGUGGGAC